GUUUAUGGCCAUACUACCCUGAACACCUCCAAUCUCGGAAGCUAAGCAGGGUCAGGCCUGGUUAGUACUUGGAUGGGAGAACUUUGUAUGCUCUUUGGGUGUCACAGCCC
rnacentral:rRNA from 1 species